rnacentral:rRNA from 1 species
CAGGAUGAACGCUGACAGAAUGCUUAACACAUGCAAAUCUAUGUAAAUUAUUUAUGCUUGCAUAAAUAAGGAGCAUGGUGGACUGGUGAGUAACGUGUAAAGAACUUGCCUCUUAGACUGGGAUAACAAGUGGAAACGCUUGAUAAUACUAGAUAUUAUGAUACUAAGGCAUCUUGGUAACAUGAAAGGAUAAGAUUGCUAAGAGAGAGCUUUGCAUCCUAUUAGCUAGUUGGUGGGGUAAAGGCCUACCAAGGCGAUGAUAGGUAGCCGGCCCGAGAGGGUGAACGGCCACAAGGGGACUGAGAUACGGCCCUUAC